rnacentral:rRNA from 1 species
UACGUAGGGGGCGAGCGUUGUUCGGAAUUACUGGGCGUAAAGGGCGCGUAGGCGGCCUUCUAAGUCGAACGUGAAAUCCCCGGGCUCAACCCGGGAACUGCGUCCGAUACUGGAAGGCUUGAAUCCGGGAGAGGGAUGCGGAAUUCCAGGUGUAGCGGUGAAAUGCGUAGAUAUCUGGAGGAACACCGGUGGCGAAGGCGGCAUCCUGGACCGGCAUUGACGCUGAGGCGCGAAAGCCAGGGGAGCAAACGGG